UACGGAGGGUGCAAGCGUUAUCCGGAUUCACUGGGUUUAAAGGGUGCGUAGGUGGGCUUGUAAGUCAGUGGUGAAAUCUCCGUGCUUAACAUGGAAACUGCCAUUGAUACUAUAGGUCUUGAAUUAUCUGGAGGUUAGCGGAAUAUGUCAUGUAGCGGUGAAAUGCUUAGAUAUGACAUAGAACACCAAUUGCGAAGGCAGCUGGCUACAGGUACAUUGACACUGAGGCACGAAAGCGUGGGGAUCAAACAGG
rnacentral:rRNA from 1 species